UGGGAAUUUUGGACAAUGGGCGAAAGCCUGAUCCAGCAAUGCCGCGUGUGUGAAGAAGGCCUUCGGGUUGUAAAGCACUUUUGUCCGGAAAGAAAUCCUUGGCUCUAAUACAGUCGGGGGAUGACGGUACCGGAAGAAUAAGCACCGGCUAACUACGUGCCAGCAGCCGCGGUAAUACGUAGGGUGCAAGCGUUAAUCGGAAUUACUGGGCGUAAAGCGUGCGCAGGCGGUUUGCUAAGACCGAUGUGAAAUCCCCGGGCUCAACCUGGGAACUGCAUUGGUGACUGGCAGGCUAGAGUAUGGCAGAGGGGGGUAGAAUUCCACGUGUAGCAGUGAAAUGCGUAGAGAUGUGGAGGAAUACCGAUGGCGAAGGCAGCCCCCUGGGCCAAUACUGACGCUCAUGCACGAAAAGCGUGGGGAGCAAACAGGAUUAGAUACCCUGGUAGUCCACGCCCUAAACGAUGUCAACUAGUUGUUGGGGAUUCAUUUCCUUAGUAACGUAGCUAACGCGUGAAGUUGACCGCCUGGGGAGUACGGUCGCAAGAUUAAAACUCAAAUGAAUUGACGGGGUCAUAGCUGUUUCCU
rnacentral:rRNA from 1 species